UUUGCCACAGGACAGCAGUACCUUGUUGUCCAAAAAGCGGCGCCAAAGCAGCAUUUCCUCCUUAAAGGUGGCCUCGGGCAGGUCAACCCAGAUGAAGAAGCCUGCCCCACGGCCGAGGAAGGGGAUCCCCAGGGCCCGGAGCUCUCCUGCGACAUAGGUGUGGGCAGCCUUGAGCCGGGCAUGGUUCUCAGAAGCACCCAUGAUGCCUGGCCAGUCCCCGACUGACUACAACCUUCCCCCCAGUUCUCAAGUGACGGGGCCCAGGCAGUCACCACGGUCCCCGAGCAGCUGUGCCAUCUGGUACUGGACCAAGCCACUGAGGCCGUGAUAGCGGCAGAGGGAAGCCACCGCAGUGGCCACGUCCCGGUUCUCUGUGUACAGCGUGCCGAAGCGGAGCCCAGACAUCCCGAAGUCCUGCAGGAGAAAGGCACCCGGUGGCCAUCCCGCCACACAGGAAGCUGGUUCCACCCACCUCUCUGCCCUCUCACCUCCCCGACACCCCCGAGGCCAUACAGGAACCUACCUUGCUGGUCGCCCACAUUACAUGGGUCCUCUGGGGGUCAGGCAACCUGCAGAGAGCACAGUGUGGGAACAUGGGAACACAGAUCCACCACAAAGGCUCACACACGUUCGGCUGAACAAAUGAGAUGGGUGGACGAAUUCGGUUCCGGUUCUUGUGUGAAGCUCCGGUCUCAUCUCUUGAAUCAGCAAUUCCUACACAUCCUUUAGAGCAAGAGUCGGCAGACGUAGCCUGCAGGCUAAACCCAGCCCACUGCCUGUUUCCGUAAAUAAAGCUUUACUGGAACACA